UCAAAACUAGCAAUUCUAAUACUGUUUCUGAUCAUACAGGGAUGAUGAAAAUUCUUGAAGUAUAUCUGUGGAACCAUUAGAGUAGUACUUCCAGCAAGAGAUAAGAGUAAUGGGAACACGGAAUUACCAGCUGUUGCAAUCAAGACAAGAUACAAAAAGAUGCUGCAGAUUUCUCCAUUCAUUUACAUCUGAAGAUAUGAUCCAUUGCCCAAGCAUGGCAGCUGCAAAGGGGUACUCUUAUACACAAGCUGUGGAUGCUCAAUUUUUGGCUGUAUAUCUACUUGGAAAUGUCCCAUACUGUUUGAUAAGACCCAGAUGGCAACCAGAUGGCUCCAUGUAACUCUUAGGAAGUGCUGCUGCAGACUGAGAGUAAGAAACUGAAGUAAGUCUACAAACAACUCCCUCUCUUUCUCGUGACUUCUAUUAAUAAAGAGUGAAGAUUACCACACUGUAUUCCAUUGUUAAAUAAUGAUAGGACAUUUAGGGGUUUGCAGAUAAUUUUACCACUUCAUGAAUAACAAAAUCACUCUGAUCAAGAGUCUAAGCAUUUUCUUAUGUUGACUUGUUGGCCUAUUUGGUAUACUAUGCACUGUCUAAUUGGAGACAGUCAUAAACUUGAAAUUGAUACCAAAAUCCAGAAAUAUGGAAAUAUUCCAAGACUUUUGGAAUAUAGCAAAUUCUGCUACUGUUGCCCUCUUUCUAAGAGCUCUUCCCUUGACCAUUCGGAGAAAGGUAUGCUCACUUGCACUAACCAACUAACAGAAGAUACAUAGGCAAAUAACAUACAGGCAAACCCAUCUUUUGGUAGUCUUGGCUCUGACACCAAUGACUACGUCUCAAGAGAAUUUCUGAAUAAAUGCUUAUCCCAAAUACAGUGAUGCAAACAGAGAAAUAACUUAGUUGCCCUUUGUUAAUAACAUCCCUUCCAAAACCAAGAAUUACAAAAGAAUUGUAAUAUUUGUUCUACAGUACUUUUCCAGACAUGAUCUGUUUACAAUAAGAAAGAGAAGUUAUGGGACGGUGAUGAUUCACACGAUCACGGUAUUUUCCAGUCACAUGCAAAGGUAAUGAUUAAACUGCUUCUUCCAGUCACACAUCAGGAAGUCAUAGUAGAAUUUGAGCCAUUUUUUUUUCAUUUCUCAACUCCAUUAGCUUCCCAUGCACUUCUGUAAGUCACCACACUCUUCUCUUAACAGGAAAAAAUUCUUAUUAGGCAGAAGGGCUAAAAGAUGAUUUAGCAUAACCUAUAAUACCAGACAUCUUUCUCCCUCUCUCACUCGCUGUUUUAGUUUGCAGUCAAAGAAAAUAUGUUGAUGGGAAGAUUUAGAGAUUUAAAUAAGGGCUGGAAGAUUUAAACAUUGCUAUUCUAAUAUUGCUACAGUGCCAUGAAAAGUUAAUGUACCCUGGUUUCUAGAUCUGUGGAAAUGUUGUGUGCUUACAGGAAUUUCUUUAGGGAAGUUCUUUGAAGAAAUGUGUUUGGCUCUAGGUGGGUUACAUUUUCUCAUCCUACUAGUGCUUCCUAAUGUUGGUCACUAAGUUACUGAGAAGUUUUUGUUUUACCUUAGUUUAGAACCUAUAAUGCAUCCAUCAACUACCACCUCUGCAUUAUAAAAUACAGCAAACUACCUUCAUGGUGAUACCUGACACAAACAUUUCAAAAUCAUUUGAGUGAAGCUUAUUGGAAUCAAAAUGUAUUGUUCUGUGAGAAGUAAAUUAAAUAAUUUUCAGCUCUACAAAGGAUACAUUAUAUUGGUUUGUAAUUAAACACAUCAGACAUCUAUUAAGGAGAAAAACAAUCACACGGGAUAAUGAAUGUGCAUUGAUAGGGGAAUGUAUGUGUGUAUAUGCACAAAGGAAAUUCAGGACAGAGGCAAAAGGAUAGAAGGGAAAUGUCUGUGGUGGCUAACAGAUUUAAAUGCAGGAAAGUACUGCCAUUCAGAAUGAGAAUCGUUUUCUUUUAAAUAUCAAAACUGUUUUCAUGAGAGAAGACCCCAACACAAAUGCAUUCACAGAAGCCUAAAUCAUUUAGUUGAAUGCUAAUGUUUUUAUGAUUUGGUAUUUUGAAACUGUCUAAUCUGUUAAUGAACUCCUGUCUAAAGGUUCCUUUCUUCACUUCACUCUACUAUACAGUGUCAAUAUUCCAUGUUUUAAUGGUUUUUGCCCUGCCUUGAAUAUUUUUUCUCUGAGUGUUUCUCAUUACUAACCAUUCUGAAUUUUAAUUUUUAUGUAGUUUAAGCUGCUCGUACUUAUUAAGAAUGUAAUAAAAUCAGUAAUAGGGAAGAUCCAAAAUAGCUUUGGGAAGUCCCUUCAGAAGAGUUUGUUUUCUGCUUUCAUACUGCCAUCUUCAGUGUAAGUAUUAAAACUACAGUUACUACAUAUCCUUACAUCACGACUUUGUUUUCUUCCAAUAAAAUAUUCUUUUACAUACUCGAAAGUGGGUUUUAAAUACUGCCAAUUUAAAAUAGUUGAACUUUACAAACAAGGAGGCACGUACAUGAAGGAGAAGCAGGUUAUCUGUGCUGACUGUUCUGUACACCGCAGCGUCAUGUUGAACAAACAGCUGUACAUUAAUAUGUUUCAUUGCCUUGUCAUAUAUAUUGUCUAGAAAAAGUAUUUUCAUUUUCAUCAAAGUCCAGAAAAUACUUGAAGCAGGAAUUCUUCGUUUGUUGCCUUCUCCAUCAUGAAGAUUUAUUUGUAGAUCUUUGAUUUCUAUGAUGAGAGGUUUCUAGUUUGUAAACACAGAAAAAUUAUUCCCCUAUAUUUUUACAUAAGUAGAGUAUGCCGUGUUCUUUUUUUGCCACUGUGUUCCAGGAGUAAGGAUCUGCCUCAUGUUACACAGCUUCCACUUUCAAAGUUGACUAUUGAUUUAGAAACUAACAUAACCUGAUUCUCAGAAAGUUUUGAGCUACUUGGUCCCCCAUCAGGCUACCUUUGGGGCAUUCACAGACUGCUGGCUGAGGUGGCCGAGGUGCUGUGAUUUAAUAAAUUACUGGUGAUGAGCUGAACCAUACUGCUCAUGCAGCAAGUUGAAAUAGCUGAUCUUGUAGUAAUAAGGACUCAAUUAUGAUAGCAUGAUAAUGGGCAGGUCAUUAGUAUCUGUCUAAAAGGAUAAAGCUUUGCAGUUCUUGUUUAUCAAAGCUGUAUUUCAUGAUAUAUCUAUCACCUGAAAUACACGAGUCAAUGUAUUCAGAGAUUACCACCUGGAAAAUAUGAAAAAGGACUAUUUUCUGUAGGGCUGCACUGAGUUAACAAGUGCAAAUCAAGAAGCAGCAUUCAUGAACAGACAGUCCCUUGGAAGAAAUAAAGAAACAAAUAAACAAAAAAAGAAGAAAAAACAACAGAAAAAGAAAUCUAAAUCUUUGAUGUUUGCACGACGAGCAUAGUACUGAAUCUUUGUUUAGUUGUGAUUAAGAGCAAUUUAGCUGUAUUAAGAACAAUAAAAGUUUGUGUGCAAGGAAAAGCCACAUUCUAAAAUUAAAAAGAUUGAGAGAUUAAAUCUUGUAAGUUCCCCAAUUAUCUCAGUCAAAUAUAAUGACAGCUAUUGGAGAAUGAUUGUAAUUUUUGUGGUCAUUCUGUCUUUCUAAUAAUAUAAUAUAUGUGCAGAUCUCAUUUUUUUAAUCAGGUUUCCUUCUUCGCUUACGUGAUUCAUGGAUUGACCAUGUGGAACUCAAAUUAUAUUCUUGCUUGUUUAUUUUACUUGUGAUUGUGCUUAAGACAGGCAGAAAAUUCUAACUGAACAUUAAGUAUAUAAUCAAACAAAUCCCCUGACUGAGUGGGCAGGAAUGGCAGAUGGGUUAUGGCAUUGGGAAGUUCCUUCUCAGCUCAAAGAGAAGAAAAAAAAAGAAAGAUUUGCUAACAGACAGACAGCAAGGAACGUUCCAAAAGCUUCCCAAAAGAUUAACCAUUGUUGUACUAAAAAUAUCUGAUGUCAGAUUUCUGGGGAUGGGUCAAAUAUAGGCAU